UACGUAGGGUGCGAGCGUUUAAUCGGAAUUACUGGGCGUAAAGCGUGCGCAGGCGGUCUGUUAAGACCGAUGUGAAAUCCCCGGGCUUAACCUGGGAACUGCAUUGGUGACUGGCAGGCUUUGAGUGUGGCAGAGGGAGGUAGAAUUCCACGUGUAGCAGUGAAAUGCGCAGAGAUGUGGAGGAAUACCGAUGGCGAAGGCAGCCUCCUGGGCCAACACUGACGCUCAUGCACGAAAGCGUGGGGAGCGAACAGG
rnacentral:rRNA from 1 species